GGAGCAAACAGGAUUAGAUACCCGGGUAGUCCACGCUGUAAACGAUGCGUACUAUGUGUCGGACCCCCCUCGGUGCCGCAGCUAACGCAUUAGGUACUCCGCCUGGCAAGUACGGUCGCAAGCGUGAAACGCAUAGGAAUUGAAGGGGACCCGCAUAAGUAGAGGAGAAUGUGGUUUAAUUCGAAGCAACGCGAAG
rnacentral:rRNA from 1 species